AGAGUUUGAUCAUGGNUCAGAGUGAACGCUGGCGGCAGGCCUAACACAUGCAAGUCGAACGGCAGCACAGAGGAGCUUGCUCCUUGGGUGGCGAGUGGCGGACGGGUGAGGAANACGUCGGAAUCUGCCUAUUUGUGGGGGAUAACGUAGGGAAACUUACGCUAAUACCGCAUAUGACCUUAGGGUGAAAGCGGAGGACCUUCGGGCUUCGCGCAGAUAGAUGAGCCGACGUCGGAUUAGCUAGUUGGCGGGGUAAAGGCCCACCAAGGCGACGAUCCGUAGNUGGUCUGAGAGGAUGAUCAGCCACACUGGAACUGAGACACGGUCCAGANUCCUACGGGAGGCAGCAGUGGGGAAUAUUGGACAAUGGGCGCAAGCCUGAUCCAGCCAUGCCGCGUGUGUGAAGAAGGCCUUCGGGUUGUAAAGCACUUUUGUCCGGAAAGAAAAGCUUCGGGUUAAUACCCCGGGUCNUGACGGUACCGGAAGAAUA
rnacentral:rRNA from 1 species